UACGUAGGGUGCAAGCGUUGUCCGGAAUUAUUGGGCGUAAAGAGCUCGUAGGCGGUUUGUCGCGUCGGCUGUGAAAACUCAGGGCUCAACCCUGAGCCUGCAGUCGAUACGGGCAGACUAGAGUAUGGCAGGGGAGACUGGAAUUCCUGGUGUAGCGGUGAAAUGCGCAGAUAUCAGGAAGAACACCAGUGGCGAAGGCGGCUCACUGGCCCGGUACUGACGCUGAGGCGCGAAAGCGUGGGGAGCAAACAGG
rnacentral:rRNA from 1 species